UAUUGGACAAUGGGGGCAACCCUGAUCCAGCCAUGCCGCGUGUGUGAAGAAGGUCUUCGGACUUGACGGUACCCUAGGAGGAAGCCCCGGCUAACUACGUGCCAGCAGCCGCGGUAAUACGUAGGGGGCGAGCGUUGUCCGGAAUUAUUGGGCGUAAAGGGUUCGCAGGCGGCCUUUUAAGUCAGAUGUGAAAGCCCACGGCUUAACCGUGGUAAGCAUUUGAAACUGGAAGGCUUGAGUUAAGGAGAGGAAAGUGGAAUUCCUAGUGUAGCGGUGAAAUGCGUAGAUAUUAGGAGGAAUACCAGUGGCGAAGGCGACUUUCUGGACUUAUACUGACGCUGAGGAACGAAAGCGUGGGGAGCAAACA
rnacentral:rRNA from 1 species